rnacentral:lncRNA from 1 species
ACGAGGGAGCGUCCGCGGCCCGCGCAGAGCCGCGCACCAAGCCGAUGGCGGUGGACGCAGCAGGGCCCCGCGGUCUGAGUGCGGGCAGGCGCGCGUGGGCGUGUCUCCCUGGCCCACGCGUGUCCCCGGCAUCAGUGUCUCGGCUCUGGUCCAGGACGAAGACUUCUGAAAGCGAGCCAAGGAGAAUCACAGUUCUUAACGGAGCCCCUGACUGCCCGGUGGAAGGAGGUGAUUUAGAAGACAGUGAGACUCAGCUACUGUUCCCAUCGAGAUGCAAAGGACACAGAGCUCACGGGUGCUCCAGCAAUGCUGGUGUCAUGUUUGGAGGUAGCUGUCUAUGGACUACAGUAUUCUCCCAGUGCUAGUCUGCAGUCACUGCAAAGCCUCCCAAUAGAACAUUUCUUCCUGAGCCAACCUAUCAGUGCAGCUCUGGAAGCAAAUGACCUCUCCUGGCAGAGCCUUCACUGUGUGGGGAACAUCAGAUUUGUGUAAAGAAGCACAGGAUGUUUCUUGGCUUCAAACCAUUUGGAUAAGUGAUGGCAGCAAGCUUCGCCACUGUAAAGUCACCUCUUUGUAAGAAGACAGGAGCUCUUUGUAAAGAAUAUGAGACCUGAGGCUGGGGGAUGGCUGAGAAGGGAAAAGCACCUCUGCACAAGCGUGAGAAAAGGAGUUUGUUCUUCCACAUCCAUGUAGAAAUCUUGAUGCCGUGCCGUGAACCCCAGCUCUCCUACGGGAAGAUGGGAGGCGUAGACAGGAGUUCAUCUGGAAGCUUGAGGCCAGCCACCCAGAUCCUCAGAGCUGCAGACAAAAGAGAGGCCCUGCAGCAAAAGAGUGGAAGGUGAGAACCAACUCCGGAAAGUUGCCCUCUGACCUUUACAAGUGUAUACAUCCACACACAUACAAUAAAAUCAAUUGCUCAAUCACGUA